rnacentral:rRNA from 1 species
UACGUAGGGUGCGAGCGUUAAUCGGAAUUACUGGGCGUAAAGCGUGCGCAGGCGGUUUUGUAAGUCAGGUGUGAAAUCCCCGGGCUUAACCUGGGAACUGCGUUUGAAACUACAAGGCUAGAGUGUGGCAGAGGGGGGUGGAAUUCCACGUGUAGCAGUGAAAUGCGUAGAGAUGUGGAGGAACACCGAUGGCGAAGGCAGCCCCCUGGGUUAACACUGACGCUCAGGCACGAAAGCGUGGGGAGCAAGCAGG